UUAACUCUACUUUAGUUUUCUCUAGCGUGCUCACGUGAUAACAUUAUUAAAUAGCCGCGGUAUUCUGACCGUGCAAAGGUAGCAUAAUCAUUAGUUUUUUAAUUGAAAACUUGUAUGAAUGGUUGGACAAAGAAGAAGCUGUCUCUUGUGUUAGGAUUGAAUUUAACUUUUAAGUGAAAAGGCUUAAAUACUCUAGAGGGACGAUAAGACCCUAUAAAGCUUUAUAAAUUUAAAGAUUUUGUAUAUUUUUAUAUAAAAAUAAAUUCUAAAAGUUUAUUUGGUUGGGGCGACAAUGGUAUAAUUUAAAUAACUGCUAUUAAAUUUAACAAAUAUAUUUGUUUUAUAAAAAUAAUUGAUCCUUUAUAAGGAUUUUAAGAUCAAGUUACUUUAGGGAUAACAGCGUUAUUUUUCCUGAGAGUUCUUAUCAAAGGAAAAGUUUGCGACCUCGAUGUUGAAUUAAAAUGUCUUUUUAGUGCAGCAGCUAUAAAAGAAGGUCUGUUCGACCUUUAAUAUUUUACGUGAUCUGAGUUCAGACCCGGGGGAGAAUUUGGUUGGAUGGGGGGGUUUU
rnacentral:rRNA from 1 species